UCUCCGUAGGUGAACCUGCGGAGGGAUCAUUACAAGUGACCCCGGUCUUACCACCGGGAUGUUCAUAACCCUUUGUUGUCCGACUCUGUUGCCUCCGGGGCGACCCUGCCUUCGGGCGGGGGCUCCGGGUGGACACUUCAAACUCUUGCGUAACUUUGCAGUCUGAGUAAACUUAAUUAAUAAAUUAAAACUUUUAACAACGGAUCUCUUGGCUCUA
rnacentral:misc_RNA from 1 species